CCACUGGCAUAAAUUUCAAAGUGCCCCAUCUUGGCUCAUCCACCCAACUACACAAGUCUCAAAGCACAUUGUUCUUUAUCAUUCAUCCAAUUAUACAUAUCUUAAAGCACUCCAUAAUCUAUCAUCCAUCCAUCUACACAAAUUUCAAAGGAUUUUAUCCUUUAUCAUCCAUCCAUCUACACAGAUCUCGAAGUACUCUAAUUUUUAUUAUUCAUCUGUCUGCAUAAAUCUC
rnacentral:lncRNA from 1 species